rnacentral:rRNA from 1 species
AUCAGAGUUCGAUUAAGCCAUGUUAGUCGAGGGUGNUUNUUCUUCGGAAGAGGUAACCGGCAGACGGCUCAGUAACACGUGGACAACUUACCCUUGGGACCGGGAUAACCCCUGGGAAACUGGGGCUAAUACCGGAUAGAGCAUCGGUUGCUGGAAUGCACGAUGGUCUAAAGCUGAGGCGCCCAAGGAUAGGUCUGCGGCCGAUUAGGUUGUUGUUGAUGUGACGGAUCAACAAGCCUACGAUCGGUACGGGUUGUGAGAGCAAUAGCCCGGAGAUGGGUUCUGAGAGAAGAACCCAGGUCCUACGGGACGCAUCAGGCGCGAAAACUUUACAAUGUGCGAAAGCACGAUAAGGGAACUCUGAGUGCCUCCUAAGGAGGCUGUUCGGGUGUCUAAAAAGCAUCCGAAGGAAGGGCUGGGUAAGACCGGUGCCAGCCGCCGCGGUAACACCGGCAGCCCAAGUGGUAGCCACGCUUAUUGGGUCUAAAGCGUCCGUAGCCGGCCAAGUAAGUUCUUUGGGAAAUUUGACCGCUUAACGGUCAAGCUAUCAGGGAAUACUGCUUGGCUUGGGACCGGGAGAGGUCAGAGGUACUCCAAGGGUAGGGGUGAAAUCCGUUAAUCCUUGGGGACCACCGGUAGCGAAGGCGUCUGACCAGACCGGGUCCGACGGUGAGGGACGAAGGCUAGGGUCGCGAACCGGAUUAGAUACCCGGGUAGUCCUAGCUGUAAACGAUGCGGGCCAGGUGUUGGCAUUACUGCGAGUGAUGCCAGUGCCGAAGGGAAGCCGUUAAGCCCGCCAUCUGGGGAGUACGGUCGCAAGGCUGAAACUUAA